AUAACUAAGCGGAGGAAAAGAAACUAACGAGGAUUCCUCUAGUAACGGCGAGUGAACGGGGAAAAGCCCAGCGCUGAAUCCCAUGAUCACUCAUCAUCGGGAACUGUAGCGUAUAGGUGUAACUAUUCGGUGGUUUUUGCUUACCCAAAGUUCCCUUGAGUGGGGCUAUAGUCCAUAGAGGGUGCUAGGCCUGUACGGGUAGCAAAGUCAUUGAUAUUGGUUACUCCAUGGAGUCGAGUUGCCUGGGAACGCAGCUCAAAGUAGGUGGUAAACCUCAUCUAAGGCUAAAUAUGACUACGAGACCGAUAGCGAACAAGUACCGUGAGGGAAAGUUGCAAAGAACUUUGAAGAGAGAGUUCAAGAGGGCGUGAAACCGCUGAGAAGGAAGCGGAUAGAGUUGACGAAACACGGUGGCAUUCAUCCGAUCAGUGGUAUCGACUAAUGUAUCACUUGUACUACUGUCUCGGUAGCAAUGAUAUGUUAUGAUCAAUAUUGCUUGGUUGGUGCUUUUGCCAUUGGUAUGCGCUGAGAGGUUCGCUAUGAUGCGUCAAAGUCAAUUGAAGAGGACUAGACUCCUCAUUGAGUGUAGAACCCUUCAAUGAUGAAGGCGUCAUUCGUGGUGAAUUGCUGUUUCGCAGUUACAUCGUUGGCUGUAUGGUGCAGCUGGCUGUUACGUAGCUAUGUUGGUUGUUGGCAGUCGCAUGCGACUCGUCUACAGUCGAUUGUGGUUCGUUGACAGCAUAGUUGCAU
rnacentral:rRNA from 1 species